rnacentral:lncRNA from 1 species
AAAUGAACAAGAAAUAGCUGAUUCUUAGGGUAGAUCCUAAGGUCAAAAGAGAUAAUGGGGAUGGGUAAUUGGGUUGAUUAUUUGAUUGUUUAAACAUAAUAAUUAUAUUAUUGUGGGUUGAAAACCCUAUGUACUCACCAGGUUUCCCAACCUGACCCACUCAGUUUAUUUAUAUCACAGGUGUCGAUAUGAAGUCACAUUACACUGAGAGAUUAAAGAGAUGUAGAUCACUAGUGUAAAUAGAUGUAAGUUCCGUUUAUGCUUAUGUUCUUGUAUUGAAGAUGAAAUCCCAAACGUUUUUAAAAUGAAUAAGAUACGUUUCUUCGAAAAUGUUCUGAUAACGUAUUUAUCGUAUUUUUCUGGGAACAAAUUCCGCAACAUUUUGAUGAAAAGAAGUACUCUGAUUUUUAAAAAGCAUAAACAAAAUCGGUCUUUUCUGGCUGUGAAAAUGGGGAUGUCACAAGGAGUUAGAGUAGGAAUGGAGGUUGUUUUAAACCCUUUAUCCGCGUGAGACUUGAUACGAUUCUCUUCAACAAUCAACUCAUGAACAACAUAAUGAGUCCCUAUUAAUUUAGAUGAAAUCUUAUCUGGAAAGCCUUAGAUGAAAUCUUAUCUGGACUCUUAUCUGGAACAUAGGCCCUAAGCAACAUAUGGACUCUUAUCUGGAAAGCCUUAGAUGAAAUCUUUAUGGACUAUCAUAGAGAUUUCGUCCACCCUAUACCAAUAAAGUCCAUGAGCCCAAACUAUAAAUAUUACUGAUUUACAUAAUCAGUCCCUAUUAAUUUAAUCAGACUCUUUUGAUCACCAAAUUAAUUCAAAAUUAGUUUCUGAUCAAUAUUAACUAGAUAAUAUGAUGUCUCAAUUAAUAUAUUAUUCUUAUAAUAUAUUAAUAAAUCAUAAUUAAUCCUCUUUCUUCAUAAUUCAUCCUAUCAGUUGCUAUGGUGAAGGCAACCCAAAAGGAUCAUGCUUAUAAUCGGGUCAAGUACAUACCAAAAUAUUUAUGGGCUUAGACACCUAAUCCAACAAUCUCCCACUUGGAUAAGUCUAAUAACUAUUUUCCAAGUAUGACUUCAAAACCUGAUUAGCAAUCGUAGCUUUCAUAAGCCGCUAUCGAACUCUGAUCUUAUCAGCAACGCGUCCUUUAGAUAAUGGAUCAUAUAUUCCUUGAUUUUCAAGAUAUCGUAUACACAUGAGACAUGGAUUAUAAUCAUUCUCUCUAUCUAUGUGUUUUUUCUGGAUUUCUGAUUUAUGACGACUGAGUAAUUGAACAAAUCAAAUCAGUCCAGGCUUGGCCAAGCGCUUUGGGUGUCAUCACUAAAUCAUCGAUGGGCCCACAUACAUCACUUUUAUCCCUCUUAGGGUAAAACGAACGGAUAAGCUUCGACUCAUAUGCUUGCACUAUUUACUCAUCAAAUCACACACAACAAUAUGUUUUAUAACAUCAAGUUACUAAUGUGUUUAUGUAUUAUCAAUGUGCAACCGACUCAUAAACAACAACUCAUAUCUCUCCGUUUCAAGAAUAUAAGAUAUUAUCGUCUCACAAUCACUCAUGAUAAAAUCCUUGAAGUGAUUCAUGUGAGUGUGGGUUUAAUCCAAUACUCAAAUCUUAUUACAGGAGCACUUAUAAACACUGCGUCAGACUUUUUCUAUGUCUAAACACUUUAGACAAUCUACAGUCGGAUUUAUGACAGUCUUACCUCAUUACCUACUUCCAAAUUAUGAUUGACUGUGGAUUGAAUAACCUAGUUAUUCUGGAAGUCAAAACAUGCGAAAUUAAACACAAGAAUAAUCGAAUCCAAUAUGGCCUCAAAACUUUUGAGUAUAAAAUAAAACAUUUAUUAUUUAAUCACCAUAGUGAUUACACAUUAUUCAUUGUAUAAUGUUUCGGAUAAUCAACUUAUUACUUGAAUUGAAAAAAUAGUCAUCCCAUGCUCCAAGCAUGCACACUAUGUUUACCUAUGGUCCUUUCUUUGUGAAAUAGAUCAAUUGAACACAUUUCCAAUGAUGCUUAUUUCACAAUUCCCAAUCCUUGUGACAAGUAUAAGAAUGCUAAAUUCGUACCUAUUCCUUAGGAUACUCCUUAGGAAUAAAUGAACAAGAAAUAGCUGAUUCUUAGGGUAGAUCCUAAGGACAAAGGAGAUAAUGGGGAUGGGUAAUUGGGUUGAUUAUUUGAUUGUUUAAACAUAAUAAUUAUAUUAUUGUGGGUUGAAAACCCUAUGUACUCACCAGGUUUCCCAACCUGACCCACUCAGUUUAUUUAUAUCACAGGUGUCGAUAUGAAGUCACAUUACACUGAGAGAUUAAAGAGAUGUAGAUCACUAGUGUAAAUAGAUGUAAGUUCCGUUUAUGCUUAUGUUCCUGUAUUGACGAUGACAUCCCAAACGUUUUAAAAUGAAUAAAAUACGUUUCUUCGAAAAUGUUUUGAUAACGUAUUUAUCGUAUUUUUCUGGGAACAAAUUCCGCAACAUUUUGAUGAAAAGAAGUACUCUGAUUUUUAAAAAGCAUAAACAAAAUCGGUCUUUUCUGGCUGUGAAAAUGGGGAUGUCACAAGGAGUUAGAGUAGGAAUGGAGGUUGUUUUAAACCCUUUAUCCGCGUGAGACUUGAUACGAUUCUCUUCAACAAUCAACUCAUGAACAACAUAAUGAGUCCCUAUUAAUUUAGAUGAAAUCUUAUCUGGAAAGCCUUAGAUGAAAUCUUAUCUGGACUCUUAUCUGGAACAUAUGGACUCUUAUCUGGAACAUAGGCCCUAAGCAACAUAUGGACUCUUAUCUGGAAAGCCUUAGAUGAAAUCUUUAUGGACUAUCAUAGAGAUUUCGUCCACCCUAUACCAAUAAAGUCCAUGAGCCCAAACUAUAAAUAUUACUGAUUUACAUAAUCAGUCCCUAUUAAUUUAAUCAGACUCUUUUGAUCACCAAAUUAAUUCAAAAUUAGUUUCUGAUCAAUAUUAACUAGAUAAUAUGAUGUCUCAAUUAAUAUAUUAUUCUUAUAAUAUAUUAAUAAAUCAUAAUUAAUCCUCUUUCUUCAUAAUUCAUCCUAUCAGUUGCUAUGGUGAAGGCAACCCAAAAGGAUCAUGCUUAUAAUCGGGUCAAGUACAUACCAAAAUAUUUAUGGGCUUAGACACCUAAUCCAACAAUCUCCCACUUGGAUAAGUCUAAUAACUAUUUUCCAAGUAUGACUUCAAAACCUGAUUAGCAAUCGUAGCUUUCAUAAGCCGCUAUCGAACUCUGAUCUUAUCAGCAACGCGUCCUUUAGAUAAUGGAUCAUAUAUUCCUUGAUUUUCAAGAUAUCGUAUACACAUGAGACAUGGAUUAUAAUCAUUCUCUCUAUCUAUGUGUUUUUUCUGGAUUUCUGAUUUAUGACGACUGAGUAAUUGAACAAAUCAAAUCAGUCCAGGCUUGGCCAAGCGCUUUGGGUGUCAUCACUAAAUCAUCGAUGGGCCCACAUACAUCACUUUUAUCCCUCUUAGGGUAAAACGAACGGAUAAGCUUCGACUCAUAUGCUUGCACUAUUUACUCAUCAAAUCACACACAACAAUAUGUUUUAUAACAUCAAGUUACUAAUGUGUUUAUGUAUUAUCAAUGUGCAACCGACUCAUAAACAACAACUCAUAUCUCUCCGUUUCAAGAAUAUAAGAUAUUAUCGUCUCACAAUCACUCAUGAUAAAAUCCUUGAAGUGAUUCAUGUGAGUGUGGGUUUAAUCCAAUACUCAAAUCUUAUUACAGGAGCACUUAUAAACACUGCGUCAGACUUUUUCUAUGUCUAAACACUUUAGACAAUCUACAGUCGGAUUCAUGACAGUCUUACCUCAUUACCUACUUCCAAAUUAUGAUUGACUGUGGAUUGAAUAACCUAGUUAUUCUGGAAGUCAAAACAUGCGAAAUUAAACACAAGAAUAAUCGAAUCCAAUAUGGCCUCAAAACUUUUGAGUAUAAAAUAAAACAUUUAUUAUUUAAUCACCAUAGUGAUUACACAUUAUUCAUUGUAUAAUGUUUCGGAUAAUCAACUUAUUACUUGAAUUGAAAAAAUAGUCAUCCCAUGCUCCAAGCAUGCACACUAUGUUUACCUAUGGUCCUUUCUUUGUGAAAUAGAUCAAUUGAACACAUUUCCAAUGAUGCUUAUUUCACAAUUCCCAAUCCUUGUGACAAGUAUAAGAAUGCUAAAUUCUUGCCACUAUUGGAAUGUGUUAGAUUCUAACAUUCUACGCAAUGAUCCUUUUGUAAUGACAUAACACCAAAGUCACAAAGACUUUACCAAUGAUAUUACAAAGUGCUCUAUUGGAGAUUGUUACAAGACAACUCCAUAUAUAUGAAGUCUCAUAUUCAAAGUACGUUCCUUUGAACAUCCUUCUUGCAUAAAAGUUUCUAAUCUACAUAGAUUCUAAAUAUCUAACUCCGAUUAUGGAAAUAUUUCC